rnacentral:rRNA from 1 species
UACGAAGGGGGCUAGCGUUGCUCGGAAUCACUGGGCGUAAAGCGCACGUAGGCGGACUCUUAAGUCGGUGGUGAAAUCCUGGAGCUCAACUCCAGAACUGCCUCCGAUACUGGGAGCCUUCGAGUCCGGGAGAGGUGAGUGGAACUGCGAGUGUAGAGGUGAAAUUCGUAGAUAUUCGCAAGAACACCAGUGGCGAAGGCGGCUCACUGGCCCGGUACUGACGCUGAGGUGCGAAAAGCGUGGGGAGCAAACAGGG